AUAUGGAAGCACGGUAACGUGUGGAGUUGACCGGUACUAAUAGGCCGAGGGCUUGUCCUCAGUUG
rnacentral:rRNA from 1 species